rnacentral:tRNA from 2 species
GAGAUGUUAACUUAAUUGAAAGUGUUAGAUUUUUAAUCUAAAAAUGUUUUUUACACAUCUUA